rnacentral:rRNA from 1 species
ACUCCUACGGGAGGCAGCAGUAGGGAAUUUUCCGCAAUGGACGAAAGUCUGACGGAGCAAUGCCGCGUGAGUGAUGAAGGUUUUCGAAUCGUAAAGCUCUGUUGUAAGGGAAGAAUAGCAAGAAUAGGAAUGAUUCUUGUUCGCGGUACCUUACCAGAAAGCCACGGCUAACUACGUGCCAGCAGCCGCGGUAAUACGUAGGUGGCAAGCGUUAUCCGGAAUUAUUGGGCGUAAAGCGCAUGUAGGCGGCUUUUUAAGUCUGAUGUGAAAGCCAGUGGCUCAACCACUGAAUUGCAUUGGAUACUGGAAAGCUAGAAUCUUGGAGAGGUAAGUGGAAUUUCAUGUGUAGCGGUGGAAUGCGUAGAUAUAU